GUUUGGUACAUUACUGAUGUGGAAUCAAUUAAUUAAUUGAUUAUCUUGCGUAUCUGCCCCCGGCCAAAUAAAAUAAUGCGUGCACGCUCCUGUAGUAUUUCACACCAGACACAGGUUUCGGGUUAAUGAAAAACUUGAGGAAGAGUUUAUUCCAGGGGGAUGGGAUGCCCCUUAUAAAGCAGAAUUACAUCAUAUGCAUUGUCAGAGAUAAC